rnacentral:lncRNA from 1 species
CUUGGAGAUGUCACCUCUUCGAGGUGUCACAUCCUGCUGUCACCUCCUGAUGUCACCAACUGGGCCACAGUGAGCAAAGGGACACCGUGGGGCGCUGUGACCCCGAUGUCACCUCGUGUCACCAGAUGGGUGACAGCCACCACUGAUGUCACCUCCUGGAGGUGUCACCCCUUCGAGAUGUCACCUCCUGGAGGUGUCACAUCCUGGUGUCACCUCCUGAUGUCACCAACUGGGCCACAGAGAGCAGAGGGACACCGUGGGGCGUUGUGACCCCGAUGUCACCUCGUGUCACCUCACACCCCUCUCAAUGCCACCACAACUGUCCCCAAAUGUCCCUAUUGGGAACGUUGAAGGUCCGAGUGUCACCUUUGUCACCUCCUGCUCCCCGCAGUGUCCCCGACUGGCACGUGGUGGAGGUGGAGGUGACCGGCAGAGGUGACAAAGGUGACAAAGGCAGAGCCCUGCGUGUCACCAGCACCCGAAGGAACCCCGCGGCCACCGGCGCUGUCACCGGCGAGGCCACCAAGGCUGCCUUCUGGAGCAGCGUCCUGGGUGGGCUUUUGUCACCUAAUGUCACCUCCUGUCACCUUGUCACCUCCUGUCACCUGUCACUGUGUCACCUCCCGUCCCCUCCUGUCAUUGUGUCACCUCCUGUCACCUCCUGUCACUGUAUCCCCUCCUGUCAGUGCGUCACCUCCUGUCCCCUCCUGUCACCAUGUCACCUCCUGUCCCCUCCUGUCAUUGUGUCACCUCCUGUCCUCUCCUGUCACCAUGUCACCUCCUGUCCCCUCCUGUCCCCUUGUCACCUCCUGUCCCCUCCUGUCAGUGCGUCACCUCCUGUCCCCUCCUGUCACCAUGUCACCUCUUGUCCUCUCCUGUCACCAUGUCCCCUCCUGUCCCCUCCUGUCACCGUGUCACCUCUGGUCACCGUGUCACCUCUUGUUGUUGUGUCAUCUCCUGUCACCUCCUGUCACCUUGUCACCUUCUGUCCUCUCCUGUCAUCUUGUCACCUCCUGUCCCCUCCUGCCACUGUGUCACCUCCUGUCCCCUCCUGUCAUUGUGUCACCUCCUGUCACCUUCUGUCACUGCGUCACCUCCUGUCCCCUCCUGU